rnacentral:rRNA from 1 species
CGUUGGUUGUCCAGGUGAAAGGAUGUAGGCAUGUAUCUUAGGCAAAUCCGGGGUACUCUAUGCUGAGAUCUGAUAGCAAGCUGUACUUGUACAGCGAAGUGGUUGAUGCCAUGCUUCCAGGAAAAGUCUCUAAGCUUCAGUUACACAGGAAUCGUACCCGAAACCGACACAGGUGGUCAGGUCGAGUAGACCAAGGCGCUUGAGAGAACUCUGCUGAAGGAACUAGGCAAAAUGGUACCGUAACUUCGGGAGAAGGUACGCUGUUGUUGGUGAUGGAACUCGCUUCCUGAGCUGACGACAGCCGCAGAAACCAGGCCGCUGCAACUGUUUAUUAAAAACAUAGCACUCUGCAAACACGAAAGUGGACGUAUAGGGUGUGAUGCCUGCCCGGUGCUGGAAGGUUAAUUGAUGGGGUUAGCGUAAGCGAAGCUCUUGAUCGAAGCCCCAGUAAACGGCGGCCGUAACUAUAACGGUCCUAAGGUAGCGAAAUUCCUUGUCGGGUAAGUUCCGACCUGCACGAAUGGCAUAAUGAUGGCGGCGCUGUCUCCAGCAGAGGCUCAGUGAAAUCGAAAUCGCUGUGAAGAUGCAGUGUACCCGCGGCUAGACGGAAAGACCCCGUGAACCUUUACUGCAGCUUGACACUGAACUUUGACCUUACUUGUGUAGGAUAGGUGGGAGGCUUUGAAGCUGGAACGCUAGUUCCAGUGGAGCCGUCCUUGAAAUACCACCCUGGUAAUGUUGAGGUUCUAACUCUGUCCCGUGAUCCGGGACGAGGACCGUGUCUGGUGGGUAGUUUGACUGGGGCGGUCUCCUCCUAAAGAGUAACGGAGGAGUACGAAGGUGCGCUCAGCGUGGUCGGAAAUCACGCGUAGAGUAUAAAGGCAAAAGCGCGCUUAACUGCGAGACCCACAAGUCGAGCAGGUACGAAAGUAGGUCUUAGUGAUCCGGUGGUUCUGUAUGGAAGGGCCAUCGCUCAACGGAUAAAAGGUACUCUGGGGAUAACAGGCUGAUACCGCCCAAGAGUUCAUAUCGACGGCGGUGUUUGGCACCUCGAUGUCGGCUCAUCUCAUCCUGGGGCUGAAGCAGGUCCCAAGGGUAUGGCUGUUCGCCAUUUAAAGAGGUACGCGAGCUGGGUUUAGAACGUCGUGAGACAGUUCGGUCCCUAUCUACCGUGGGCGCUGGAAAUUUGAGAGGAUCUGCUCCUAGUACGAGAGGACCAGAGUGGACGAACCUCUGGUGUACCGGUUGUGACGCCAGUCGCAUCGCCGGGUAGCUAUGUUCGGAAGGGAUAACCGCUGAAAGCAUCUAAGCGGGAAGCCUACCUCAAGAUAAGAUUUCCCUAGGACUUUAUGUCCUCUAAAGAGCCGUUCGAGACUAGGACGUUGAUAGGUUGGAUGUGGAAGCAUAGUGAUAUGUGAAGCUGACCAAUACUAAUUGCUCGUGAGGCUUGACUAU